rnacentral:rRNA from 1 species
GAUGAACGCUGGCGGCGUGCUUAACACAUGCAAGUCGAACGAUGAAGCCCAGCUUGCUGGGUGGUUUAGUGGCGAACGGGUGAGUAACACGUGAGUAACCUGCCCUUAACUCUGGGAUAAGCCUGGGCAACUGGGUCUAAUACCGGAUAGGAGCGUCCACCGCAUGGUGGGUGUUGGAAAGAUUCAUCGGUUUUGGAUGGACUCGCGGCCUAUCAGCUUGUUGGUGGGGUAAUGGCUCACGAAGGCGACGACGGGUAGCCGGCCUGAGAGGGUGACCGGCCACACUGGGACUGAGACACGGCCCAGACUCCUACGGGAGGCAGCAGUGGGGAAUAUUGCACAAUGGGCGCAAGCCUGAUGCAGCGACGCCGCGUGAGGGAUGACGGCCUUCGGGUUGUAAACCGCUUUCAGUAGGGAAGAAGCGAAAGUGACGGUACCUGCAGAAGAAGCACCGGCUAACUACGUG